CCUACGGGAGGCAGCAGUGAGGAAUAUUGGUCAAUGGACGAGAGUCUGAACCAGCCAAGUAGCGUGAAGGAUGACUGCCCUAUGGGUUGUAAACUUCUUUUAUAUGGGAAUAAAAUGUUCCACGUGUGGGAUUUUGUAUGUACCAUAUGAAUAAGGAUCGGCUAACUCCGUGCCAGCAGCCGCGGGAAUACGGAGGGACCGAGCGUUAACCGGAUUUAUUGGGUUUAAAGGGAGCGUAGGUGGAUUGUUAAGUCAGUUGUGAAAGUUUGCGGCUCAACCGUAAAAUUGCAGUUGAAACUGGCAGUCUUGAGUACAGUAGAGGUGGGCGGAAUUCGUGGUGUAGCGGUGAAAUGCUUAGAUAUCACGAAGAACCCCGAUUGCGAAGGCAGCUUACUGGACUGCAACUGACACUGAGGCUCGAAAGUGUGGGUAUCAAACAGGAUUAGAUACCCCUGUAGUC
rnacentral:rRNA from 1 species